AGGAGGGGAGAGAGGGAGAGAGAGAGAGAGAGAGAGAGAGAUUUAAAAAAAAAUGGUGUAUGUAAAUUCCCCACCAGAAGGAUUCUUCAGGAAUCCUUUGGGAGUGGCUACUCCAUGCCAUCCUUCCAACACCACCUCUUCUUCUUCUUCAGAAGAUACAAACAAGAAGAUUAGAAAGCCAUACACCAUCACCAAAUCCAGAGAGUGCUGGACUGAGCAAGAGCAUGACAAGUUCCUUGAAGCCCUCCAGCUCUUUGAUCGUGACUGGAAGAAAAUUGAAGCAUUUAUUGGCUCAAAGACAGUUAUUCAGAUACGCAGCCAUGCGCAGAAGUACUUCAUGAAGGUUCAGAAGAAAGGGACAAAAGGACACGUACCACCACCUCGACCAAAGAGGAAAGAAAGUCAUUCAUAUCCACACAAAACCUCUAAAAAUGAUCAGAAUAUGGAAUUAUCAGGGUCCUUGUAUUUAGAAAAUUUGUCAGCUGCAUUGCCAUCACAAGCCACUCCACCAUUCCAAUCUUCAUCGUGUCUGCUUGAACCGGGAUAUGCUCUCAGAAUAGAUUCAUCUUCUAUGGUUAGGAACUCUACCCCAAGUGCACUCAUACCUUCCUGGCCUCUCAAUUCUCUUCCACCAGCAACUGUGUCCCAUACAAUGACAGAUGAUAUAGGACCUCCAGGGGCUACAUCUGAAAAUAAUUGCUGUAGCAGUAGCAUGGAAUGUCCUCCUGGGACAUGGUCAACUUGUGACACAACUGAUCUAGGGAAUCAUGGCCCACCACUUCGAGUUAUGCCAGAUUUCUCUCAAGUCUACACCUUCAUCGGCAGUGUCUUUGAUCCGAACACUAGUGGUCAUUUGCAGAAACUGAAACAGAUGGAUCCAGUUAAUAUCGAAGCAGCACUGUUGUUGAUGAAAAAUCUAUCUAUCAAUUUGUCUACUCCAAAUUUCAAGAAUCAUGUGUCUUGAUUUCUUCAAGUUCAUGUACAUUUAUAGUCUUGCAUGUGUUCCUUUCAAGCAUCUGAUAAACAUCAGAAAGUUUGAAAAAACAAGCUUUCCUCGUAAAACUUUUAUGGGCCACAUGAAUAUAGAUGGAAAGAGAGAUUGUUUUUAACAUUGAUUGAUGCAGAGAAGGCGACUCUCUUCAUAUGAGGUUGUAUCUCUAACGAAGCUGAAUCCAGUGAUGCCAACCACAAGCUCGAUGCACAUGACGCUGAGAAGGUUCUAACCAGGUCCAUCUACUUGAUGAAGCCCACCAGAUGCGCACCUCGAAUCUGCCAACACAUUGGCAUUGGCCACAUGCUAAUCACAUCUUUCAACGACUAUUGUCCCUUUUCUAUUUCAUUUCUGCAUGUACUCUCACUGACCACCCAUUCAGUCAAAUGAUUGAAUAAUAAAAAUAUCUGUCAUAUUACACGACUUCCGUGCGGAGCCCGACAGAAGGAAUUUCUACUGAAAUAACUGCCAUCUUUGUACUCAUACAGAAGCCUGAUAAAUUUCACAAGCAUGUAGGAUUAGCUCUUCGAAGCUUGAUUGCGGCAGUAUCUGGUACAGGGAGGUGGGACUGUUUCCAAGCUCGAGUUUGGGAUGUAUAGAUGUAUGAUUUUAUGUAGAUGCAUGUUGGGUAUUGUUAGAAAUCUUGGCUACUUGUAAGAACGAUGCUGAAAUCCUGAUUGUCUUUGUUUUUAUGAAAUAUCAGCUUUAAUUGUCUUUGUUUUUCAAAA